CCGACCUCAGGUGAUCCACCCACCUCGGCCUCCCAAAGUGCUGGGAUUACAGCCAUGAGCCACUGCCCCUGGCCAGAAGCCAAUUUCAAUGGGCGUAUCCUUUAUCACUCCUGACCUGUGAUAAUAGCCAUUAGAGCUUUUCAAGAAUAGUACACCCUGCCAAUGAUUUUUUUUUUAAGCCUUAAUGAAGAGAGUGUCCUCUGGGUCCUUCCAGAGAAGAUAGGAUGUGAGUGAGUAAGUUAUGUGUAAUUUCACCCCUUGAUACCAUUCCUUGAUACCAUUCCCUGUAUACCAAGGAAGGAUAUUCUGGCAUUUCACUUUGAUUUAGUAUAAGUAAAUCCUGUGUCUAGGCAUUAGUUAACAAACCAAGUGACUACAAGUGAUAAGUAACUAUUACCAUAGACUGUCAAUUACCUUGGCAAUGGAAACAUUAUUGCCUUUUGAUCAGUCAGAUCAGAGAACAAAUUCCAGAUUUCCAUCCCUAAGAUUCUGUGUCUCCGCUACCACUUCUGGUAGCAAAACUUGUCAAUAUGAGGUAGACUUAAUGCAAUGUAGCCAUGAGAAAUAAUGCUCCUACAAACAUUGCAGGAAUAAGGAAUUUGAUCAAGGAAUUAGCAUUUACACAAAAUACGGGAAGAGUUAGGGAAGUGAAAGAAUGAAAGAAGGAGAAUAAAAAAAAAUUCACUAACCACAUCACUCUAAAGCCAUUAUUGCUAACAAGGUUAUUGUAGUGCCAGUUAAGUCCAGGUCACCCAAGACAUACACACCCCUUGGCCCCACUUGGAAAACUGUGUGAUGCGACUAUUGGAUUAGGGGGUUCUCAAAGCCAAAAUGGAUUUAUCAGCAAUGACCUUACUGCCUGGUACCCAGCUUCGAGAGGACCAAAAACGAUGUUUGUGUCUUGCAUUCCCAGGUCCCUCUUUCUUCUUUUACCCAUAUCUAUGUUGUUUAAAGUAGAAAUAUCCUUAGGUUUAAGCCAUAUUCUCUCUAUUCUUGAAGGACCACAGACUCUAUACCCCUGCUGAAAUUUUCUGGAAGCCUAUGGGAAAGGAGGAACGAAAAGCUUCAUGGUUUCUUAAUACGGGUGCCUAAAUUACUAUCAUAACUCGUCCAGUAAGGAGAAGGGGCACCUGAAUUCAACUUGGCGGCUGGGCAAGGUAACCAGUGAGGGUCUUGCUCUGCCACACAGGCUGGAGUGCAAUGGCGCAAUCAUAGCUCACUGCAACCUUAACCUUCCGCAUUUGAGACAUUGUAAGUUCAGAGGCGUGAGAGUUAGCAUCCAGAGACUGCAGACAUCAGCAGCACAGCUGUCUCUCCAACAGGAUCAUUGCCAGCAGAACAUCCUACACCAAUGGCUCUUUGGGCAGGACCUUGGCUGUGCUUUGUCUGUCUAGCUUCCUGCCCAAGUUUGGUGUCUCUCCCCAGAUCACUCUCCAGUAAACCUUUUGCAUGAAACUGCUUAUCUCAGAAACUGUUUUUAAGACAAAGAUUGAAGUCCAAAAUAAAUUAUCAAAGAACUUGUGUGGAUUAGCUUGCUAUAUACAUCCAAGAUUUGAAGAACUGAAAAAAAAAUCAGUAUUAAACCUGCUUUUUAAAAAGGUAAGUGAAGUAACUUCUGGUCAUGGUUCAUUUCAGACCUCUCUAAAGCCUGCAAUUUCCCCUAGAGUAUGUGAUUUUUUUUCCAGAAGUAGAAUUACUUGACUCUAGUGAGUCUACUAAUUAAGUCUAGGAGUGUUUAUAUCCAC